rnacentral:rRNA from 1 species
CCUACGGGGUGCAGCAGUCGAGAAUCAUUCACAAUGGGGGAAACCCUGAUGGUGCGACGCAGCGUGGGGGAAUGAAGGUCUUCGGAUUGUAAACCCCUGUCAUGUGGGAGCAAAUUAAAAAGAGAGUACCAUAAGAGGAAGAGACGGCUAACUCCGUGCCAUUAACCGCGGUAAUACAGAGGUCUCAAGCGUUGUUCGGAAUCACUGGGUGUAAGGUGUGCGUAGACUGUUUCGUAAGUCGGGUGUGAAAGGUGCGGGCUCAACCCGCGAACGGCACUUGAUACUGGGAGACUAGAGUACAGUUGAGGGAACCGGAAUUCUCGGUGUAGCAGUGAAAUGCGUAGAUAUCAAGAGGAACA